rnacentral:rRNA from 1 species
UGGGGAAUUUUGGACAAUGGGGGAAACCCUGAUCCAGCCAUCCCGCGUGUGCGAUGAAGGCCUUCGGGUUGUAAAGCACUUUUGGCAGGAAAGAAACGUCAUGGGUUAAUACCCCGUGAAACUGACGGUACCUGCAGAAUAAGCACCGGCUAACUACGUGCCAGCAGCCGCGGUAAUACGUAGGGUGCAAGCGUUAAUCGGAAUUACUGGGCGUAAAGCGUGCGCAGGCGGUUCGGAAAGAAAGAUGUGAAAUCCCAGAGCUCAACUUUGGAACUGCAUUUUUAACUGCCGGGCUAGAGUGUGUCAGAGGGAGGUGGAAUUCCGCGUGUAGCAGUGAAAUGCGUAGAUAUGCGGAGGAACACCGAUGGCGAAGGCAGCCUCCUGGGAUAACACUGACGCUCAUGCACGAAAGCGUGGGGAGCAAACAGG